CAGAGUUCUCGCCCUCACGGGUAGAUCUCCCACCCACUGUUAUUGUUACCGUCGUUGCUUCGGCGGGCCGCGAGGCCCGCCGAAGGCCCUACAACCCCCGAGUAUUAGUGUCGUCUGAGUACUAUACAAUAGUUA
rnacentral:misc_RNA from 1 species